rnacentral:rRNA from 1 species
GACGAACGCUGGCGGCGUGCCUAAUACAUGCAAGUAGAACGCACAGUUUAUACCGUAGCUUGCUACACCAUAAACUGUGAGUUGCGAACGGGUGAGUAACGCGUAGGUAACCUGCCUGGUAGCGGGGGAUAACUAUUGGAAACGAUAGCUAAUACCGCAUAAUAUUGAUUAUUGCAUGAUAAUUGAUUGAAAGAUGCUAUUGCAUCACUACCAGAUGGACCUGCGUUGUAUUAGCUAGUAGGUGAGGUAACGGCUCACCUAGGCGACGAUACAUAGCCGACCUGAGAGGGCGAUCGGCCACACUGGGACUGAGACACGGCCCAGACUCCUACGGGAGGCAGCAGUAGGGAAUCUUCGGCAAUGGACGAAAGUCUGACCGAGCAACGCCGCGUGAGUGAAGAAGGUUUUCGGAUCGUAAAGCUCUGUUGUAAGAGAAGAACGGGUGUGAGAGUGGAAAGUUCACACUGUGACGGUAUCUUACCAGAAAGGGACGGCUAACUACGU